UAAACGCAAAUUUGUAUGGAGUUGUAAAGUUUGCCUAAGUUUGCCGCUAGGGGCGCUGUUCCAACUGCAUACUGAGUUAACUUU
rnacentral:pre_miRNA from 1 species